rnacentral:rRNA from 1 species
GACGAACGCUGGCGGCGUGCUUAACACAUGCAAGUCGAACGGUGAAGGGAUCAGCUUGCUGGUUCUGGAUGAGUGGCGAACGGGUGAGUAACACGUGAGUAACCUGCCCCCUUCUUCUGGAUAACCGCAUGAAAGUGUGGCUAAUACGGGAUAUUCUGCGCCUGCUGCAUGGUGGGUGUGGGAAAGAUAUUGUUUCGGUGGGGGAUGGGCUCGCGGCCUAUCAGCUUGUUGGUGGGGUGAUGGCCUACCAAGGCGGUGACGGGUAGCCGGCCUGAGAGGGUGGACGGUCACACUGGGACUGAGACACGGCCCAGACUCCUACGGGAGGCAGCAGUGGGGAAUAUUGCACAAUGGGCGCAAGCCUGAUGCAGCGACGCCGCGUGAGGGAUGGAGGCCUUCGGGUUGUGAACCUCUUUCGCCAGUGAAGCAGGCCUGUCCCUUGUGGGUGGGUGGACGGUAGCUGGAUAAGAAGCGCCGGCUAACUACGU